AUGGAGUUGGCUCGUCAGGGUCUCAAUAUGCGCAGAGAUGGGACGUGGGUUCGGACGAAUCAAAUCACCUGGUUGUGGGAGGCCGACUUGAGGCUUCAAGUACACCCUUUUUCUGAUAAAAAGCAGCUGUACACUGGGAGUGGGGUCGCUUGGGGGCAGGGUGGGGGGGUUUUUUUUUUUUCUUUAAAGUCUCAGGAAGAACAAAUGAGUAAUUUGGUCCUUUGGUUCAGGCCACAGAUGAGCACAGCACACUGUUCAGAAAGGAUGCCCUUGGGCCUCCCCAGUGGCUCAGUGGUGAAGAAUCCCCCUGCCAAUGCACAGGACACAGAUGUGAUUCCUGAUCCGGGAGGGUCCCACCUGCCACGGAGCAAUCAGGCCCGAGUGCCACAACCACUGAGCCUGUCUCCAGAGCCGCGCCUGCUGAGGCCCGUGUGCUCCAGGGCCCGGGCUCUGCAACAAGGGAAAGCCCUGCAGGGGGAGGCCUGCGCGCCGCUCCCUGCAACAACCAAGACCCAGCACAGGAAAAACAAAUGGUUAUUUUUAAAAAGAAAGAAAAGAUGCCCUGGGACGAGAGAUAGUGGAAGCAAGAAGAAAAGAGAUUGUGAAAGCAACUCAAAAUAAGUGUAUUUCACUGGACUCGCCUCUGAUAAGGUAAAAAUGAGCACUUCUGGACAGGAGGGGGAGGCAGUCAGUUAGCUGAGUUUGCUUCUGAUAUCUGCAAUGCUAUGGCCUGUUGAGGGAUAGUCAUUUUGGGCUUGGUACAGGGGUGCAGGCAAGGCGAGGGUGGGCUCACCAAAGGGCUCGGAGAUCACCAGCGGCAGCGGCAGAAAAGCCCACAGGGCUCGGCUGAGGCCGGCUGUGCUCUAAAGAGCAGAAUUCUAUUUGCAUUCUUAACUGUUGGCAGUGCUGGGCCUGCUGCCGCGUGGCCCUUCUCUGGCCGUCCGAGCAAGGGCUCCUUCUAGCUGAGGCACAAGAGCUUCGCCUGUGGCGGCUUCUCUUGUGGCAGGGCAUGGGCUCGGAGCUCGAGGGCGCAACAGCUGUGGCCCACAAGCCGAGCUGCUCUGCAUCACGUGGGAUCUUCCUGGAUCAGGGAUCCAGCCUGUGGCUCCUGAAUGGCAGGCGAGUUCUUU
rnacentral:lncRNA from 1 species